rnacentral:tRNA from 1 species
GGGGAAUUAGCUCAGUGGUAGAGCGCUUGCCUAGCAAGCGCAAGGCCCUGGGUUCGGUCCCCAGCUCCA